GCGCCUUCUCGGCCUCAGAGUCCAAUGGCUCUGGACGCGCUUGAGGAGCCCUUCAACCCGCUGCUGCGCUGUGGGGGCCCCUCUCUGGGGCUGGCCGAGGCAGGAGCCGGCUCCCUCUGCUCACGGGGAGGUGUGGAGGGAGAGGAACGUCUGGGAGCCAGGGCCGCAAGCGGCACUCAGGGGCCUGCGCGGGUUCGGGUGGGCCGGGCUCAGAAGGCCCCGCGCUCAGCGCAGCCAGCCGGUGCCUGCUGGGCUUGAUCAGGAGAUGAGUUCCCUCUGGGCUGCCAGAGUGCCUGGGCUAGGUGCUGCAAAGUCCUAUAGCGACUGCCAUUGAGAAGUGAAGCCGGCUAGGCUUCUGGGUCAGGUGAGGACCUGAAGAACGUUUCUGUCUAGCUGAAGGUUUGUAAACGCACCAAUCAGUGCUUUGUCAAAACGGACCCAUCAGCUCUCUGUAAAACGGACCAAUCAGCUCUCUGUAAAAUGGACCAAUCAGCUCUCUAUAAAAUGGACCAAGCAGUAGGAUGUGGGUGGGGCCAGAUAAGGGAACGAAAGCAGGCCUCCCAAGCCAGGAGCGGCAAACUGCUGGGAUCCAUUUCCAUGCUGUGGACUCUUUGUGCUUUGCUCUUUGCAGUAAAUCUUGCUGCUGCUCACUUUUUGGGUCUGCACCACCUUUAUGAGCUGUAACACUCACCGCGAAGGUCUGCAGCUUUACACCUGAAGCCAGGGAGACCACGAACUCAUCAGGAGGAACGAACAACUCCAGACGCGCGGCCUUUAAGAGCUGUAACACUCAACGCGAAGGUCUGCAGCUUCACUCUUGAAGUCAGCGAAACCGCAAACCCACCAGAAGGAAGAAACUCCGGACACAUCUGAACACCUGAAGGAACAAACCCCGGACACACCAUCUCUAAGAACUGUAACACUCACCGCCAGGGUCCGCGGCUUCAUUCUUGAAUCAGUGAGACCAAGAACCCACCAAUUCCAGACACAGAAGUUACUGAACCCCAACAUUUUGGUUUGGAGUACUCUCUUCAGAAGUGUUCAAGGUUCAAAUUGAGGUCUUCUGUUGUCAUGGAAUAACUUUCUCAACAAUGAGAAAGAGUGUGUUUUAUCCUGCAGCACGUCAGCUUCAAAGGGCUCUUACUUCAAGUGUCCAGCGCAUCAUUCUGGUAAAUUAAGAAAUCCUCGGCUUAAGAUCGUCUCUUUCAAUCACAUAUAAUAUGAUCCUCAAUCAAUCACUUAAAGGCCUGAAUAGAACCAAAAGUCUGACCUGCCCAUGAGUAACAGAGAGCUCCUUCUGCCUGAUUGCUUCAGCUGAGAUAUCGGCCUUUCCCUGCCUUUGGAAUUGAACUGCAACACUGGCUCUUCUUGGGCCUCAAGACUGCCAGCUUUUGAACUGUAACCACACUAUCAUCUCUCCUGGUUCUCAGGCCUUUGGACUCAAAUCAGAAGCAUACCAGGGGCUCUCCUACAUCUCCAACUUGCUAACUGUGAUCUUGAGACUUCUUAGCCUCCAUAAUCACAUGAGUCAAUUGUUGGUUCUGCUUCUCUGGAGAACCCUAAUCCAUCACUCUACAUCUUUGUUCCAUUAUACAUAUUGCUUCCCAGCAUAUUAAAUAAUUUAUCGAUUAUAUUUUUGGUUUAUUAUUUAUUUCUCCUACUGGAAUGUAAGUUUCACAGAGCUCUUGUUCAUUGCUAGAUCUCAAGCCUGGCAUCUAGUAGGUAUUCAGCAAAUAGCUGUUGAAAGAUGAAAAAAUAAAUCUAAUCUGCCAAGUGGAGGUAGGUACUGCGAAGAAGAAUAAAACCAAAUAAAGGAACUUGAGGGGAACAACAGCACUUCUUUUUAUAGAAGGUAGUUAGGUCCUGGUGGGACAAUGGACAUUACUACUGGGAUAUAAUGUUUAUCUUCCAAACUAGGCUAUCUUUCUUAAUCCUGAGAUCCUUGCAGAUUCACAUGGAGUUAUAAGAAAUAAUACAGAGAAAUCUCAUGUAUCCUCUACCCAGUUUCCUUGAAUAGUACCA
rnacentral:lncRNA from 10 species